rnacentral:rRNA from 1 species
AGUGAACGCUGGCGGUAGGCCUAACACAUGCAAGUCGAACGGCAGCACAGUAAGAGCUUGCUCUUACGGGUGGCGAGUGGCGGACGGGUGGGGAAUACAUCGGAAUCUACUUUUUCGUGGGGGAUAACGUAGGGAAACUUACGCUAAUACCGCAUACGACCUACGGGUGAAAGCAGGGGAUCUUCGGACCUUGCGCGAUUGAAUGAGCCGAUGUCGGAUUAGCUAGUUGGCGGGGUAAAGGCCCACCAAGGCGACGAUCCGUAGCUGGUCUGAGAGGAUGAUCAGCCACACUGGAACUGAGACACGGUCCAGACUCCUACGGGAGGCAGCAGUGGGGAAUACUGGACAAUGGGCGCAAGCCUGAUCCAGCCAUACCGCGUGGGUGAAGAAGGCCUUCGGGUUGUAAAGCCCUUUUGUUGGGAAAGAAAAGCAGCAGGUUAAUACCCCGCUGUUCUGACGGUACCCAAAGAAUAAGCACCGGCUAACUUCGUG